rnacentral:rRNA from 1 species
AUGCCGGCCUGGGCCGACUUCGACUCGGAUUCAAACACUUCACUGCCUCCCGCGUCCUUAUUUUCUUGCUCGCCGUGUUUCCCCAAAUCCCGAUCCAUCAGACCACGCCCUCCGAUCAGCCUCCCUCGAUCCAUCUUCCUCUCUCUCUCAGUGCCGGAUCGUUGCUCCUCGAUCAACUCCGCGGCCGCGACCAUGGCCGGCACCACGGUGCUCCCGCCGUCUCUGCUCCCGCGCCGUAGCGCCGCCGCCUCCGCCGACCUGCACUCCUGCUCCUCCCGCGUGCGCGUGAACCCUGCCUUGAUGGCGAACCCCGCGGCUGCCAAGAAGCCAAAGCGCCCCGGAUCCAUGCGCGGCGAGCAACCGCCGCCGGCGAAGCGCCUACGCGGUGCCUGCUCCGGGGGCGAGCUCCAUGUCGCCGUCCCCGCCAACAUCAAGAACGGCAGCAAGCUUCCGUCUCCCAUCAGCGGCAAGGAUCUGCUCCACUCCUCCGCAAUCAAGAACCAGGUCGCCGAAUCUCCGGCUGCCGCGACGCAAUCGAAGCCGCAGAUGAGCAUGCGCGAACUGAUCGCGAACGCUCGCCUCACCAUGGCUCGCCUCGACAAGGCUCGCUCUGCCUCCAAAGAAGAGGCCAACCGUCGGCAGGAGAUCGAGCGCAGCAGAGCAGAGGCCCGGCGAAAGAUGGAGCAGAUGGCGGACACGGUGCAGUUCAACGACCCCUGGAUCCAUCACUCCGACGUGACCAAGUCCCCUGAGGAGCUGCUCAAAGCAAGACAGCACGCAUGGCGUUAUCAAGCUCACCUCCUCGAGAUGGCUCGUCGACGGGACUUUGCUCAAGCGAUGCAAAUCCAGGAUGAGCGCUCGGGUGAUGGAAGCAGAGGAAGAAAUCAUCAGCAGUGCAGGCUUGCUGGUGGUAGUCUUGCAUCAGAGGAAGCAAAGCAGAGUUAA